UACAGAGGGUGCGAGCGUUGUCCGGAAUCACUGGGCGUAAAGGGCGCGUAGGCGGCUUGAUAAGGUUGCGGUGAAAGCCCGGGGCUCAACCCCGGGUCGGCCGUGGCAACUGUCGAGCUGGAGCACUGUAGAGGCAGGUGGAAUUCCGGGUGUAGCGGUGGAAUGCGUAGAGAUCCGGAAGAACACCAAAGGCGAAAGCGCUCUGCUGGGCCGAAACUGACACUGAGAGACGAAAGCUAGGGGAGCGAAUGGG
rnacentral:rRNA from 1 species